GUAAACAGAACAGAAUGCUGGGAAAAAGAAGCUGAGUCAGAGGGUCACCGUGAUUCUCGCUCCAGACAGAUGCAGGUUAAGAUCCUCCCUGAUUUGCCAGGAACUCAAAGGAGAAAAUGAACCACAGAAGCCUGGAAGUGCUUGCUUCUAUUUGACCACAAGCAGCAUAUGACUGAAGCUAAGCAAAGCCUACCCUGGCACUAACCUUUGACUUGGCAAGCAAAGAGAAAUCGAAGUCUAUGCCAACAUUUGCACUUUUGACCCAUACGGAAUGUUGAAGACAGAAAUACUUCUCUUCACAUUCUAAACUAUGGUUAUCAUGAUGUCUGAAAAGCGCUAUGGGUGAAGGGUUUGCCUCACUCCUACAGGAAGACCCAGUUACCCCGCAUCUCAUUCCGACUGCUUGGUGCUGCCUGAGUCCUGACUCUCACUCCCUCACCUGCUCUCUACCAUGCUGAAGCAGAUGUCCUUGAACCUGACUGGACUCAAAAGGCAGUGUGCCCUCCCCAGUCCUCCAGCUGUCCUCACCAAUCUCAUCACUCAAGAGAAACUCAUUCAACUUUUGAACACUGCAGAGAGAAACCAGGAAACACUAUGUCAGGAUACCAGGUAUACUUACAGAUCGGUGAAGCUUCCGCGAAACAUGAUGACCACAUCAUAGACAUUAAAUAUACAUGUAAGCUUUGACCUAUAUCAAUUUGAUGAAAAGCAUGUUUGCCAUCUUCAUCAAGAACCUUUAAGAUACUACCAAAACUAGCACCAUCGCUUAAAGAAAUCUGACCGAAGCAACCACCAGAGAAGACUGCAGAGAUAAUGGGAGAGUUUGCCUUGAUAUCAAGCAUGUGGGGGUGGGGAAAGAAAGACAGUCUAAAUGCCCAGUAGAAGGCCAAUUGUUCAAUAAAUCAGACUGCUUCUAAGAAUGGACUAUGGCAUGGCCAGGAAGGUUCCUCCUGCAGCAGAUGGGAACAAAUAUAGAAACGCACUGCCAGACAUUUUUCAGAGAGUGUGAAACCUCGGAACACUCAGCCCCAAAUGGAAUGUCUCCACCAACUCCCUCCCCUCAGAGUCCAGGGAACCCUGGGGAGAAGGAUGUAUGAGGACUGUAAGUGUCAGAGGGGAUGGAGGACACCAGGAGAUCACGGCCCUCUAAAUCAACAUGAGCCGAGCUCGUAAUCACUCGGAGACUGAAGCAGCAAGCACAAGGCUGCACGGGUCUGCACCAGGUCGUCUGUGUACAUAUUAUGGCUUCCAGUUUAGGGUUUUUAUGGGACUCCUGAGUGUGUAAAUGACUGGGUCUCUGAUUCUUGUGCCUUCUCUUGGGUUCUUUUCUUUCUGUUGGUUUGUCUUAUCCAACUUCAAGGUGAUAGUUUUUGUUUUAUCUUAUAUUUUAU